rnacentral:rRNA from 1 species
ACUCCUACGGGAGGCAGCAGUGGGGAAUAUUGCACAAUGGGGGAAACCCUGAUGCAGCCAUGCCGCGUGUGUGAAGAAGGCCUUCGGGUUGUAAAGCACUUUCAGUAGGGAGGAAGGUAGUGUAGUUAACACCUGCACUAUUUGACGUUACCUACAGAAGAAGCACCGGCUAACUCCGUGCCAGCAGCCGCGGUAAUACGGAGGGUGCGAGCGUUAAUCGGAAUUACUGGGCGUAAAGCGCAUGCAGGCGGCCUGUUAAGUCAGAUGUGAAAGCCCGGGGCUUAACCUCGGAAUUGCAUUUGAAAACUGGCAGGCUAGAGUCUUGUAGAGGGGGGUAGAAUUUCAGGUGUAGCGGUGAAAUGCGUAGAGAUCUGAAGGAAUACCAGUGGCGAAGGCGGCCCCCUGGACAAAGACUGACGCUCAGAUGCGAAAGCGUGGGGAGCAAACAGGAUUAGAUACCCUGGUAGCACAGAG